AGUGAACGCUGGCGGUAGGCCUAACACAUGCAAGUCGAACGGCAGCACAGUAAGAGCUUGCUCUUACGGGUGGCGAGUGGCGGACGGGUGAGGAAUACAUCGGAAUCUACUUUUUCGUGGGGGAUAACGUAGGGAAACUUACGCUAAUACCGCAUACGACCUACGGGUGAAAGCAGGGGAUCUUCGGACCUUGCGCGAUUGAAGGAGCCGAUGUCGGAUUAGCUAGUUGGCGGGGUAAAGGCCCACCAAGGCGACGAUCCGUAGCUGGUCUGAGAGGAUGAUCAGCCACACUGGAACUGAGACACGGUCCAGACUCCUACGGGAGGCAGCAGUGGGGAAUAUUGGACAAUGGGCGAAAGCCUGAUCCAGCCAUACCGCGUGGGUGAAGAAGGCCUUCGGGUUGUAAAGCCCUUUUGUUGGGAAAGAAAAGCAGCAGGUUAAUACCCCGCUGUUCUGACGGUACCCAAAGAAUAAGCACCGGCUAACUUCGUG
rnacentral:rRNA from 1 species